rnacentral:rRNA from 1 species
CCUACGGGUGACAGCAGUAGGGAAUAUUGCUCAAUGGAGGAAACUCUGAACCAGCAACGCCGCGUGGAGGAUGAAGGUCUUCGGAUUGUAAACUUCUUUUGUUAGGGAAGAUAAUGAUGGCAUCUAACGAAUAAUCACCGGCUAAUUCCGUGCCAGCAGCAGCGGUAAUACGGAGGGUGCAAGCGUUACUCGGAAUCACUGGGCGUAAAGGGCGCGUAGGGGGGAUAGCAAGUCAGAUGUGAAAUCCUAUGGCUUAACCAUAGAACUGCAUUUGAAACUGUUAUUCUAGAGUAUGGGAGAGGUAGGUGGAAUUCUUGGUGUAGCGGUAAAAUCCGUAGAGAUCAAGAGGAAUACUCAUUGCGAAGGCGACCUGCUAGAACAUAACUGACGCUGAUGCGCGAAAGCGUGGGGAGCAAACAGGAUUAGAUACCCGAGUAGUC